rnacentral:lncRNA from 1 species
AGCAAGAGGAAAAUUCAGAGACAGCAUCAUGGAAGAUUGCACUGGCUGCAAAGAACAUAGAGGAUUUGAAUCCCAGGGAGAGAAGGCACAGUCCACACAGGGAGAGGAAGCAGGGACAGGAGGCUGGAAGUGCGAGCGAGCAUGCUGAGCACAACGGAGGGUGAAGGAGACAGCCUCGGUCUAACAGGGGGGUUGUGUGUGUGUAUGUGUGCACAAAUGUAUGAAUGUGUGUGAGAGUGCAAGAGUAUGGAUGUGUGCAUGUGCAUGUGUGUGCACAAAUGUGUGUGAGAAUAUGCCGAAGUGUAUAUGUGUUAGUGUGCGUGUUUGUGCACAAAUGUGUGAAUAUCUGUGAGAGUAUGCAUGAACAUGUGUGUGUGAGUGCAUGGAUGUGCAUGACUAUAUAUGCUUGAGUGCGAGUGUGCAUGUUUGUGCAUGAAUGUGUGAAUGUUUAUGAGAGUAUGCAUGAGUGUGUGUGCGUGUGUGUGUGUGUGUGUUUUAGGAGAGGGCCAGGCACGGUGACUUACGCCAAGCCGCCAAGCCAGCACUUUGGGAGGCCAAGGCGGGCAGAUCACUUGAGGUCAGGAAUUAGCCGGGCUUGGUAGCACAUGCCUGUAAUCCCAGCUACUCAGGAGGCUGAGGCAGGAGAAUUGCUUGAACCCGGGAGGCAGAGGCUGCAGUGAGCCAAGAUCGUGGCACUGCACUCCAGCCUGGCACACUUUCAUAUUCCCCAUCACAUUGGCUGAAGUCGUCCUCAGGCCUCACUCCUAUCCAUCAAAGAAGACAGGACUCACCUUGCUGGCUGCUGCCAGCAUUGCUUACAUCAGCCGCAUCCUAUGGCUCUACUUUGAGACGGGUACCUGGGUGUAUCCUGUGUUUGCCAAACUCAGCCUCUUGGGUCUAGCAGCUUUCUUCUCUCUCAGCUACGUCUUCAUCGCCAGCAUCUACCUACUUGGAGAGAAGCUCAACCACUGGAAAUGGGUUUCUGUUCAGAUCUUGCAAAGAUGGAGGCUAGAAUCUGUUGGAAUCUGCUUCCAGUGGCCCGAUUGGAAGUCACCAGCCAAGCACCAACUGGUCAAGAAUAUCAGGUGACAUGAGGCAGCCACGGAAGAAGAGGAAGUAAUUGCACACCAUUUUCCAAGAACCAAGAAAGAAGAAAACACAAGAGAUUUUUCUCAUCUUUUUUUUUUUUUUCUGGUGGAGGGAGGUGGUGGAGGAACAUAGCAAAGUAGGAGGGACAGAGAGUGAUACUUAAAUUUAAUAAGAGGUUCGUGAAGGUAGCUUAACUUGAGAACUCUUGGUUUUUUGAAAGGUUGACUGCACAUGCCAAAAACAACUCCUGCUAUCUCAGAAUUAAUUAUCUUUGACCUUCGUGGAGGAUGGUCUCUGGUUAAAAUCUGGCCAAAGAAACUCACAUAAACUUGGUGUUAGAGAACAUCUAGAGAGAGAGAGAGGAACUUAGAGUCAUUUAAACUCUUCAGUUUACAGAGAAGGAUGCUGAGGACCUAGAUGAGAAGUUACCUGCAAAAGGCAAAAGGGUUACUUAGUGUCAGAACCAAGGCAAUGACUUCUCUCUCCCAGAUCUCCUAGCUACUGGUCCUGGGCCAUUUUUUUUUUUUUAAAUAAUCCCAACUUUCUUUAAAAGACAAGCAUUUCAGUAAGCUAGUUAUUUUCAUGGGUUGCUCAUCCAUUUUUUUCAGUGAUCUAAAAAUGUAGGGAGAUGGCUACUACUGAAGUUGUCUGUCUACUUGGGAUAAUAGCAAAUUAAUUGAAGACAAUGGGAAAGUAAGUUAUAAAAAAUACUGGGAAAUCUGUUUCUCUUCUGAGCAAGCAUUCAGGGCAGGUAUAAACAUCAAACAUAGUGACAUUGUCAAAACCUCUUCCAUUUGAACAUUGAUUAAUUCAUCAAAUAAAUGGUAUAGUAAU